rfam:Lactobacillus dextrinicus DSM 20335 NODE_3, whole genome shotgun sequence.
CCACAGCUGCAACCGCACAAUCAGAGGUUCUAAAGCAAUUUGCUACCUCUUUUGGCGAGUCUAAGACAAUAG